rnacentral:rRNA from 1 species
UUAAGCGACUAAGCGUACACGGUGGAUGCCCUGGCAGUCAGAGGCGAUGAAGGACGUGCUAAUCUGCGAUAAGCGUCGGUAAGGUGAUAUGAACCGUUAUAACCGGCGAUUUCCGAAUGGGGAAACCCAGUGUGAUUCGUCACACUAUCAUUAACUGAAUCCAUAGGUUAAUGAGGCGAACCGGGGGAACUGAAACAUCUAAGUACCCCGAGGAAAAGAAAUCAACCGAGAUUCCCCCAGUAGCGGCGAGCGAACGGGGAGCAGCCCAGAGCCUGAAUCAGUGUGUGUGUUAGUGGAAGCGUCUGGAAAGGCGCGCGAUACAGGGUGACAGCCCCGUACACAAAAAUGCACAUACUGUGAGCUCGAUGAGUAGGGCGGGACACGUGGUAUCCUGUCUGAAUAUGGGGGGACCAUCCUCCAAGGCUAAAUACUCCUGACUGACCGAUAGUGAACCAGUACCGUGAGGGAAAGGCGAAAAGAACCCCGGCGAGGGGAGUGAAAAAGAACCUGAAACCGUGUACGUACAAGCAGUGGGAGCCUCUUUAUGGGGUGACUGCGUACCUUUUGUAUAAUGGGUCAGCGACUUAUAUUCUGUAGCAAGGUUAACCGAAUAGGGGAGCCGAAGGGAAACCGAGUCUUAACUGGGCGUUAAGUUGCAGGGUAUAGACCCGAAACCCGGUGAUCUAGCCAUGGGCAGGUUGAAGGUUGGGUAACACUAACUGGAGGACCGAACCGACUAAUGUUGAAAAAUUAGCGGAUGACUUGUGGCUGGGGGUGAAAGGCCAAUCAAACCGGGAGAUAGCUGGUUCUCCCCGAAAGCUAUUUAGGUAGCGCCUCGUGAAUUCAUCUCCGGGGGUAGAGCACUGUUUCGGCAAGGGGGUCAUCCCGACUUACCAACCCGAUGCAAACUGCGAAUACCGGAGAAUGUUAUCACGGGAGACACACGGCGGGUGCUAACGUCCGUCGUGAAGAGGGAAACAACCCAGACCGCCAGCUAAGGUCCCAAAGUCAUGGUUAAGUGGGAAACGAUGUGGGAAGGCCCAGACAGCCAGGAUGUUGGCUUAGAAGCAGCCAUCAUUUAAAGAAAGCGUAAUAGCUCACUGGUCGAGUCGGCCUGCGCGGAAGAUGUAACGGGGCUAAACCAUGCACCGAAGCUGCGGCAGCGACACUAUGUGUUGUUGGGUAGGGGAGCGUUCUGUAAGCCUGUGAAGGUGGCCUGUGAGGGUUGCUGGAGGUAUCAGAAGUGCGAAUGCUGACAUAAGUAACGAUAAAGCGGGUGAAAAGCCCGCUCGCCGGAAGACCAAGGGUUCCUGUCCAACGUUAAUCGGGGCAGGGUGAGUCGACCCCUAAGGCGAGGCCGAAAGGCGUAGUCGAUGGGAAACAGGUUAAUAUUCCUGUACUUGGUGUUACUGCGAAGGGGGGACGGAGAAGGCUAUGUUGGCCGGGCGACGGUUGUCCCGGUUUAAGCGUGUAGGCUGGUUUUCCAGGCAAAUCCGGAAAACCAAGGCUGAGGCGUGAUGACGAGGCACUACGGUGCUGAAGCAACAAAUGCCCUGCUUCCAGGAAAAGCCUCUAAGCAUCAGGUAACAUCAAAUCGUACCCCAAACCGACACAGGUGGUCAGGUAGAGAAUACCAAGGCGCUUGAGAGAACUCGGGUGAAGGAACUAGGCAAAAUGGUGCCGUAACUUCGGGAGAAGGCACGCUGAUAUGUAGGUGAAGCGACUUGCUCGUGGAGCUGAAAUCAGUCGAAGAUACCAGCUGGCUGCAACUGUUUAUUAAAAACACAGCACUGUGCAAACACGAAAGUGGACGUAUACGGUGUGACGCCUGCCCGGUGCCGGAAGGUUAAUUGAUGGGGUUAGCGGUAACGCGAAGCUCUUGAUCGAAGCCCCGGUAAACGGCGGCCGUAACUAUAACGGUCCUAAGGUAGCGAAAUUCCUUGUCGGGUAAGUUCCGACCUGCACGAAUGGCGUAAUGAUGGCCAGGCUGUCUCCACCCGAGACUCAGUGAAAUUGAACUCGCUGUGAAGAUGCAGUGUACCCGCGGCAAGACGGAAAGACCCCGUGAACCUUUACUAUAGCUUGACACUGAACAUUGAGCCUUGAUGUGUAGGAUAGGUGGGAGGCUUUGAAGUGUGGACGCCAGUCUGCAUGGAGCCGACCUUGAAAUACCACCCUUUAAUGUUUGAUGUUCUAACGUUGGCCCCUGAUCGGGGUUGCGGACAGUGUCUGGUGGGUAGUUUGACUGGGGCGGUCUCCUCCUAAAGAGUAACGGAGGAGCACGAAGGUUGGCUAAUCCUGGUCGGACAUCAGGAGGUUAGUGCAAUGGCAUAAGCCAGCUUGACUGCGAGCGUGACGGCGCGAGCAGGUGCGAAAGCAGGUCAUAGUGAUCCGGUGGUUCUGAAUGGAAGGGCCAUCGCUCAACGGAUAAAAGGUACUCCGGGGAUAACAGGCUGAUACCGCCCAAGAGUUCAUAUCGACGGCGGUGUUUGGCACCUCGAUGUCGGCUCAUCACAUCCUGGGGCUGAAGUAGGUCCCAAGGGUAUGGCUGUUCGCCAUUUAAAGUGGUACGCGAGCUGGGUUUAGAACGUCGUGAGACAGUUCGGUCCCUAUCUGCCGUGGGCGCUGGAGAACUGAGGGGGGCUGCUCCUAGUACGAGAGGACCGGAGUGGACGCAUCACUGGUGUUCGGGUUGUCAUGCCAAUGGCACUGCCCGGUAGCUAAAUGCGGAAGAGAUAAGUGCUGAAAGCAUCUAAGCACGAAACUUGCCCCGAGAUGAGUUCUCCCUGACUCCUUGAGAGUCCUGAAGGAACGUUGAAGACGACGACGUUGAUAGGCCGGGUGUGUAAGCGCAGCGAUGCGUUGAGCUAACCGGUACUAAUGAACCGUGAGGCUUAACCUU